UUCUUUAAGGCUUAAUUUAAAGUAAAGCCUGCUCAAUGACAAAUUAAAUAGCCGCAGUAUUACUCUGUGCUAAGGUAGCAUAAUAACUUGCUUCUUAAUUGGAAGAUAGAAUGAAUGGCCAUACAUUUAAAAUCUGUAUCUUAUUAACUUAAAUUAAUCUAAAAGAAGGGUUAAAAUCCCCUUAAAUAUUGGCGGGACGACAAGACCCCGAUAAACUUAUAAUUUAGUUGGGGUAACAAUAUAAAAAAACUUUACUAAAAAUAUUACAAAACUUAAACAAUAAUAUAAGAACAGUUACUACGGGGAUAACAGCGCAAUUUCUUUUAAGAGAUCUUAUCCAAAAAGAAGAUUACGACCUCGAUGUUGAAUUAAUUUACCUCCUUCGCGCAAAAGCCUAGAAAGGAAGUCCGUUCGACUGUCAAACAAUU
rnacentral:rRNA from 1 species